GGGGCAGUAGCUCAGCGGUUAGAGCCACGGACUCAUAACCCGUUGGUCACAGGUUCGAAUCCUGU
rnacentral:tRNA from 1 species